UGCAGUUACAGCCUGUCGCCACUAGAUGGGGGUUGAGAGCGGCGUGUUAGCUCUCCACCUUCGUGCAAGAUGGUGGCGCCCAGAAGCUUUGCUGGGAGGGAGGGGCAGUUUUUCUCGCACGCGGAUCUGGAUUCAGAUGAGUUCUGUUCUCUGGUCUCCCGGGGCCCUGGGUUUAUGGGGUCCCGCGCAUGGAAGCUUUCCCCCGUCAGUGGGUUUCCACUGAAUCAGCGGCAGGAGUCCUGGAGGAUCCCCCGGUCGUGCGGCCUCUCCCCCGCUCCUUCCCGACCCGCGCCGCAGCGAUCACAGACUCUAGGGGAGGGAGCCGUGUUCUCUCCUACCGUUCCAGUGCCUCCGAGGGUGUAAGCAAGACCACAAGAGGGAGCUGCUGCAGGCUGCGGAUGCUGACGCCUUCCUGGCUGCAUUCGUCCGGUGAGCUCACGCAGUCAGCUCGCUCUGACGUCUGUCCAACAUGCACGACUCCCUGACAUCUCUCCCUAAAUCCCAGGCUCAACUGUUUAUUCAGCAUCUCCACUCAGACAUCUGAAACACAACAAACACUCAAAGCAGAGGAGAACCUUGGCAGUGCAGUAUUUGUCAUGGAUAUCUGCUAUGUUGUCUGCCCGGCGCUUUCCCUCUCUCCUGGGGCCACAGCCCUCUCCCUGUGCCAAUCAUGAGGCUCUGAUGGGGCCGCCAGGCUCAGCACCUCCCCGCUGGCCGCCCACGUGGCCACCCAGCCGGACCUCUGGCUCCC
rnacentral:lncRNA from 1 species